AAGAAAUCCUACAGUUCUAGGAAAGUUGAAAAUGCAUUCUACAAAAAGAGUGGUCAAGCACAUCUGUCUGACCAUCAAGAAAAUUACAUAUAAGUAUCUAUGAAUUCAGAAAGAACUGAUUGGAAAAAGACCUUUUAAGGAGGAAGAUAACCCUUGUGAUCUACCAAUAGACAGAUGAACAUGCUUCUGAAACUUCUGAGAAGUAUCAGGCAAAGAUGCAUUACCAGGAAGAAGAAAAAACAGAUACUGGCCUAUCAGCUCUCUUCACCAGUGGCUCUCCUGACAGGUUGGGGCAAUUCAUCUUCCCUAAUAAAAGCCUGCCUUAAGAAGUGAGGUGAUGUCGUUGAGCCAGAGGGUGACAGGAGCACAGUGGCUGCUGCAAAGGGAAGCUGGAGGUCCCUCAGCAACAGUUUGACCCCUGGAUAAUAUUCCUCUGACAUUAGCAGCAUUUCCACGGCUGCUUCUGGUCAAAUAAAAGACCAGGCUGUGCGCGUUUUUACUAUAUCUGCCAAGGGCUCACAGGACAUAGAUCAGAUGUUACUGGGACAAGUAAGGACAAGAGAGGCUGGAGCUGCAGUUCAAUAGACCGAAUGCCUGUCUAUUCUCAGUUUUAUGGAAUAAGAAAGCAGGGAAGAAGAAAGAAUUAAAGAGGGCAACAAGGUAUGAUGCCAAUGAGUGCAAAGUAAGAAAUGUGUAAAACAAGCACAGGCCCUGGCUUCUGGAGUUCAUAAA